rnacentral:rRNA from 2 species
ACAAGGGGUGCUAUACAUGCAGUCGAGCGGACAGAUGGGAGCUUGCUCCCUGAUGUUAGCGGCGGACGGGUGAGUAACACGUGGGUAACCUGCCUGUAAGACUGGGAUAACUCCGGGAAACCGGGGCUAAUACCGGAUGGUUGUUUGAACCGCAUGGUUCAGACAUAAAAGGUGGCUUCGGCUACCACUUACAGAUGGACCCGCGGCGCAUUAGCUAGUUGGUGAGGUAACGGCUCACCAAGGCGACGAUGCGUAGCCGACCUGAGAGGGUGAUCGGCCACACUGGGACUGAGACACGGCCCAGACUCCUACGGGAGGCAGCAGUAGGGAAUCUUCCGCAAUGGACGAAAGUCUGACGGAGCAACGCCGCGUGAGUGAUGAAGGUUUUCGGAUCGUAAAGCUCUGUUGUUAGGGAAGAACAAGUGCCGUUCAAAUAGGGCGGCACCUUGACGGUACCUAACCAGAAAGCCACGGCUAACUACGUGCCAGCAGCCGCGGUAAUACGUAGGUGGCAAGCGUUGUCCGGAAUUAUUGGGCGUAAAGGGCUCGCAGGCGGUUUCUUAAGUCUGAUGUGAAAGCCCCCGGCUCAACCGGGGAGGGUCAUUGGAAACUGGGGAACUUGAGUGCAGAAGAGGAGAGUGGAAUUCCACGUGUAGCGGUGAAAUGCGUAGAGAUGUGGAGGAACACCAGUGGCGAAGGCGACUCUCUGGUCUGUAACUGACGCUGAGGAGCGAAAGCGUGGGGAGCGAACAGGAUUAGAUACCCUGGUAGUCCACGCCGUAAACGAUGAGUGCUAAGUGUUAGGGGGUUUCCGCCCCUUAGUGCUGCAGCUAACGCAUUAAGCACUCCGCCUGGGGAGUACGGUCGCAAGACUGAAACUCAAAGGAAUUGACGGGGGCCCGCACAAGCGGUGGAGCAUGUGGUUUAAUUCGAAGCAACGCGAAGAACCUUACCAGGUCUUGACAUCCUCUGACAAUCCUAGAGAUAGGACGUCCCCUUCGGGGGCAGAGUGACAGGUGGUGCAUGGUUGUCGUCAGCUCGUGUCGUGAGAUGUUGGGUUAAGUCCCGCAACGAGCGCAACCCUUGAUCUUAGUUGCCAGCAUUCAGUUGGGCACUCUAAGGUGACUGCCGGUGACAAACCGGAGGAAGGUGGGGAUGACGUCAAAUCAUCAUGCCCCUUAUGACCUGGGCUACCCACGUG